CAGCAGCCGCGGUAACACGGAGGGUGCAAGCGUUAAUCGGAAUUACUGGGCGUAAAGCGCACGCAGGCGGUUUGUUAAGUCAGAUGUGAAAUCCCCGGGCUCAACCUGGGAACUGCAUUUGAAACUGGCAAGCUAGAGUCUCGUAGAGGGGGGUAGAAUUCCAGGUGUAGCGGUGAAAUGCGUAGAGAUCUGGAGGAAUACCGGUGGCGAAGGCGGCCCCCUGGACGAAGACUGACGCUCAGGUGCGAAAGCGUGGGGAGCAAACAGGAUUAGAUACCCCAGUAGUCCCUGUCUCUUAUAC
rnacentral:rRNA from 1 species